GCUACGGGAGGCUGCAGUGAGGAAUAUUGGUCAAUGGCCGGGAGGCUGAACCAGCCAAGCCGCGUGAGGGAAGACGGCCCUAUGGGUUGUAAACCUCUUUUGUCAGGGAGCAAGAUGCAGGUCGGGACCUGCUGUGAGAGUACCUGAAGAAAAAGCAUCGGCUAACUCCGUGCCAGCAGCCGCGGUAAUACGGAGGAUGCGAGCGUUAUCCGGAUUUAUUGGGUUUAAAGGGUGCGUAGAUGGGUUGGGAAGUCAGUUGUGAAAGUUUGGGGCUCAACCGUAGAAUUGCAGUUGAUACUGGAAGUCUUGAGUACAGUUGAGGUAGGCGGAAUGCGUGGUGUAGCGGUGAAAUGCUUAGAUAUCACGAAGAACCCCGAUUGCGAAGGCAGCUUACUAAACUGUGACUGACAUUGAUGCUCGAAAGUGUGGGUAUCAAACAGGAUUAGAUACCCGAGUAGUC
rnacentral:rRNA from 1 species